rnacentral:tRNA from 1 species
GCUAAGGUGGCAGAGCUCGGAAAAAUGCAAUAGGCCUAAGCCCUUCAAACAGGGGUUCAAAUCCUCUCCUUAACU